rnacentral:rRNA from 1 species
AACGGACGCUGGCGGCAGGCCUAACACAUGCAAGUCGAGCGAAGCCUUCGGGCUUAGCGGCGGACGGGUGAGUAACGCGUGGGAACGUGCCCUUUGGUACGUAAUAGCCCCGGGAAACUGGGAGUAAUACCGUAUGUGGUCGAGAGACGAAAGAUUUAUCGCCAAAGGAUCGGCCCGCGUUGGAUUAGGUAGUCGGUGGGGUAAUGGCCUACCAAGCCGACGAUCCAUAGCUGGUUUGAGAGGAUGAUCAGCCACACUGGGACUGAGACACGGACCAGACUCCUACGGGAGGCAGCAGUGGGGAAUCUUAGACAAUGGGGGAAACCCUGAUCUGGCCAUGCCGCGUGAUCGAUGAAGGCCUUAGGGUUGUAAAGAUCUUUCAGUGGGGAAGAUAAUGACUGUACCCACAGAAGAAGCCCCGGCUAACUACGUGCCAGCAGCCGCCGUAAGAC